rnacentral:rRNA from 1 species
CCUACGGGUGGCUGCAGUGAGGAAUAUUGGUCAAUGGGCGCGAGCCUGAACCAGCCAAGCAGCGUGAAGGAUGACUGUCCUACGGGUUGUAAACUUCUUUUAUAAAGGAAUAAAGUGAGGCACGUGUGCCUUUUUGUAUGUACGUUAUGAAUAAGGAUCGGCUAACUCCGUGCCAGCAGCCGCGGUAAUACGGAGGAUCCGAGCGUUAUCCGGAUUUAUUGGGUUUAAAGGGAGCGUAGAUGGGUUGUUAAGUCAGUUGUGAAAGGUUGCGGCUCAACCUUAAAAUUGCAAUUGAUACUGGCAGUCUUGAGUACAGUAGAGGUAGGCGGAAUUCGCGGUGUAGCGGUGAAAUGCUUAGAUAUCGCGAAGAACUCCGAUUGUGAAGGCAGCAUACUAAACUGACACUGACAUUGAGGCUCGAAAGUGUGGGUAUCAAACAGGAUUAGAUACCCGAGUAGUC